rnacentral:rRNA from 1 species
UACGUAGGCAGCAAGCGUUGUUCGGAGUUACUGGGCGUAAAGGGUGUGUAGGCGGUUGUUUAAGUUUGGUGUGAAAUCUCCCGGCUCAACCGGGAGGGUGCGCCGAAUACUGAAUAACUAGAGUGCGGGAGAGGAAAGUGGAAUUCCUGGUGUAGCGGUGAAAUGCGUAGAUAUCAGGAGGAACACCGGUGGUGUAGACGGCUUUCUGGACCGUAACUGACGCUGAGACACGAAAGCGUGGGUAUCAAACAGG